UCCGUAGGUGAACCUGCGGAAGGAUCAUUAUUGAAUGAACAUGGAGUUUGGUUGUCGCUGGCCACUUUACUGGGGCAUGUGCACGCCUUUCUCUAUUCAUCCACACACACCUGUGAACUUGUGAGACGGAUAGUAGUCCCCUCGGGGGCGAGCUCCGUCUGCUAAUACAUAAACUCCAGUAAAUAAAUUUGAAUGUCAUUUGAUGUAACGCAUCUAUAAACUAAGUUUCAACAACGGAUCUCUUGGCUCUCGCAUCGAUGAAGAACGCAGCGAAAUGCGAUAAGUAAUGUGAAUUGCAGAAUUCAGUGAAUCAUCGAAUCUUUGAACGCACCUUGCGCUCCUUGGUAUUCCUCGGAGCAUGCCUGUUUGAGUAUCAUGAAAUUCUCAAAAUAAAUCUUUUGUUCAUUCAAUCGGUUUCAUUUUGGACUUGGAGGUCUGCAGAUUCACGUCUGCUCCUCUUAAAUUCAUUAGCUGGAUCUCUAUAAACUCGGUUCCACUCGGCGUGAUAAGUAUCACUCGGCUGGAGGGGGACACUGGUAAAAAGGGGUGGGCCGGGGAUUGGUUGGAAGGAACUGGCUUCUAAUAGGUCCAUUCACUUGGGGACAAUUACUUGAUGAUCUGAUCUCAAAUCAGGUAGGACUACCCGCUGAACUUAA
rnacentral:rRNA from 1 species